rnacentral:tRNA from 1 species
GCCUCGGUGGCGAAAUUGGUAGACGCAAGGGACUUAAAAUCCCUCGGGGGAAACCCCGUGCCGGUUCGACUCCGGCCCGAGGCACCA